rnacentral:rRNA from 1 species
UACGUAGGGGGCAAGCGUUGUCCGGAUUUAUUGGGCGUAAAGGGCGCGUAGGCGGUUCUUAAGUUUGGAGUGACAGUGGGUGGCUUAACUACCCAAGGCCUCUGAAAACUGGGGAACUUGAGGACCAGAGAGGGACAUAGAAUUCCGGGUGGAGUGGUGAAAUGCGUAGAUAUCCGGAGGAAUACCAAAGGCGAAAGGCAGUGUCCUGGAGGGUGACUGACGCUGAGGCGCGAAAGCUAGGGGAGCGAAGAGG